GACGAACGCUGGCGGCGUGCUUAACACAUGCAAGUCGAACGAGUGGCGAACGGGUGAGUAACACGUGGGUGAUCUGCCUUGCACUUCGGGAUAAGCUUGGGAAACUGGGUCUAAUACCGGAUAGUGCAAGAUGAGCUCGCGGCCUAUCAGCUUGUUGGUGGGGUAAUGGCUACCAAGGCGCGACGGGUAGCCGGCCUGAGAGGGUGUACGGCCAAAUUGGGACUGAGGUACGGGCCAGAAUGCUACGGGAAGCAGCAGGGGGGGAUGUUGCACAAAGGGCGGAAGCCUGAAGCGACGACGCCGCGUGAGUGAUGACGGGCUUCGGGUUGUAAAGCUCUGUUAAUCGGGAAGCGGUACCGGAAUAGAAAGCCACGGCUAACUACGUGCCAGCAGCCGCGGUAAUUC
rnacentral:rRNA from 1 species